rnacentral:rRNA from 1 species
GACGAACGCUGGCGGCGUGCUUAACACAUGCAAGUCGAACGGAAAGGCCCUGCUUGCAGGGUACUCGAGUGGCGAACGGGUGAGUAACACGUGGGUGAUCUGCCCUGCACUUCGGGAUAAGCCUGGGAAACUGGGUCUAAUACCGGAUAGGAGCCAUUUUUAGUGUGAUGGUUGGAAAGUUUUUUCGGUGUAGGAUGAGCUCGCGGCCUAUCAGCUUGUUGGUGGGGUAAUGGCCUACCAAGGCGGCGACGGGUAGCCGGCCUGAGAGGGUGGACGGCCACAUUGGGACUGAGAGACGGCCCAGACUCCUACGGGAGGCAGCAGUGGGGAAUAUUGCACAAUGGGCGCAAGCCUGAUGCAGCGACGCCGCGUGGGGGAUGACGGCCUUCGGGUUGUAAACUCAUUUCGCUAGGGACGAAGCUUUUUGUGACGGUACCUAGAUAAGAAGCACCGGCUAACUACGUG